rnacentral:misc_RNA from 1 species
AUGUACCACUCGUACACUCCGGUUCCUGCGCGCCGUCCACGCCCACCUGGCG